rnacentral:rRNA from 1 species
CCUACGGGAGGCAGCAGUGAGGAAUAUUGGUCAAUGGACGCAAGUCUGAACCAGCCAUGCCGCGUGCAGGAAGACGGCUCUAUGAGUUGUAAACUGCUUUUGUACGAGGGUAAACGCAGAUACGCGUAUCUGUCUGAAAGUAUCGUACGAAUAAGGAUCGGCUAACUCCGUGCCAGCAGCCGCGGUAAUACGGAGGAUUCAAGCGUUAUCCGGAUUUAUUGGGUUUAAAGGGUGCGUAGGCGGUCGGAUAAGUUAGAGGUGAAAUCCCGAGGCUCAACUUCGGAAUUGCCUCUGAUACUGUUAGGCUAGAGAGCAGUUGCGGUAGGCGGAAUGUAUGGUGUAGCGGUGAAAUGCUUAGAGAUCAUGCAGAACACCGAUUGCGAAGGCAGCUUACCAGGCUACUUCUGACGUUGAGGCACGAAAGCGUGGGGAGCAAACAGGAUUAGAUACCCUAGUAGUC